rnacentral:rRNA from 1 species
UACGGAGGGUGCAAGCGUUAUCCGGAUUCACUGGGUUUAAAGGGUGCGUAGGUGGAUCUGUAAGUCAGUGGUGAAAUCUCCGGGCUUAACCCGGAAACUGCCAUUGAUACUAUUUGUCUUGAAUACUGUGGAGGUCAGCGGAAUAUGUCAUGUAGCGGUGAAAUGCUUAGAUAUGACAUAGAACACCAAUUGCGAAGGCAGCUGGCUACACAAAUAUUGACACUGAGGCACGAAAGCGUGGGGAUCAAACAGG